GCGGAGGAAUUUAAUUAGUAUUGUUCGACUUUCCGUGAAGCCCUGGCUUCCGAGUUAGCCGAGCAAUUUGAAAACAUAGUGCGCGUCUUGAUUUGAUUACUGUAUAGUACAGUCUGUUUCUUAACUUAUCGUAGUUACGCGAGCAUUUGUACUGUGUUCCAUCUGCAAGCGAGCUGCGAGCGACUUUUGAAUCAUCCACUGGGCCGAGGCAUCAGGUGGACUUAGGCGAUUUAUUUCUGCGACUCUGUUACUUUUAGACGAUUUGAUAUUGGAAUUCUCUGACGAUGGUGAUGAAAUGAGUGGAGAAAAAAUCCCGAAAGCCGGAAAGUCGAUUCCUUCUAUAAGUGCAUCUGCAUGUUUACAGGCAUCCGUAAAUCUCAACAGCUACCCUGACCGUGUCGUACCCAAACCGACGUCUGUUACUUCUACCAUUCAUGUUGCUUCAACAGGGCCACCUCCGUUACAAGACGUUCCUCCAUUAUAUUCUACUGUAACAUUUCAGAAUCAAAAGCCAUCAGU